GGAUUUGGACCUGGUGGUGCCGGAGUUGGGCCUGGAGGUGCAGGAGGAGUCAACCCUGGUGGAGCCUCUGUGCCAGGUGGAGUUCCAAUGCUGCCACAGACGGGCACAGCUGGGCUAGGACCUGGAGGAAAGAGUAAAGCAUCACAACAGGUUCCAGGAGUUGGGGUGCCUGGCCUCUAUCAAGGUGGAUAUGUUCCAGGCCAAGGUUUUGGAGGCCGUGGUGUUCUCCCUGGAGUGGCCACAGGAUCUGGACUUGGGCUUCAGACUGG